AUGCUAGCAAAGCAAGCAUGGAGGCUGCUCCAAAAUCCCACCUCAUUAUGCGCCCAGGUGCUCUCAGCAAGAUACUACCCAGAGUGUUCAAUAAUACAAACAAGGCCAAGAAGUGGCAUCUCCUAUGUAUGGCGAAGCAUUCUAAAAGGCAUUGAACUGCUGAAGAAGGGAAUCAUAUGGAGAUUAAGUAGCGGUAAGAACAUUGAUAUAUGGUCAGACCCAUGGAUUCCAAGAGGCAACACCAGAAGGGUCAUCACCCAAAAGGGUAAUAACUUGGUAACUAAAGUCAGUGAGCUAAUUAAUCCAAUCACGAACAAGUGGGACAAAGAAUUAGUGAAGCAGAUGUUCAUUCCGGAAGAUGCAAGAGUUAUUCUUUAGAUCCCAGUCCAAGACCAUAUUGAGGACUUCAUGGCAUGGCACUAUGAUAAAAAAGGUAUAUUUUCAGUUAAAUCUGCAUACCAAGUUGCAAUUGACUGUGCUGCCCGGGAGUCUAGCUCGGGACUAACCUCUACUUCAAGUGCAGCUGAAGGAGAGGACGAAUUUGAUUGGCGAAAACUAUGGUCGAUGCCCAUCCCAAACAAGGUGCUUCAUUUCCUGUGGCGUCUAGCUACAAAUAGCUUACCGCUUCGGACAAAACUAAAAAGCAGAGGUAUGAAAGUUGACACUCGGUGCCCUAUGUGCCUUAGAUUGGAUGAGGAUGGGCACUGUUUUGUAAAGUGCAAGAAAGUAAAACAAGUGUGGAGAAUGGCUCAACUUGAGCAUGUCAGGCUGCAACUAGUUCCCUGUGAUAAUGCUUUGAACUUCUUAGGAAAAAUCCUUAAAUUGCAAGAGGACAUUAAGUUAAAAACUUGCUUAUUACUUUGGCGCUGGUGGCAUGAGAGAAACAGUGCAAAUAAAGGGAAUGAGUUAAAAUCAUCUAGUGAGAUUUGCUCUUCUAUUGACUACCACUUUUUGAAUGCUGUGAAGGCACAUGAAGGGGACAGGCUAGCUCAACAUCCAAAACAUAAAUGGACAAGACCACCUGCUGGAAUUCUCAAGAUCAAUACAGAUGGAGCUUUUCAUGGCAAUACCAGUGAUGGAGGUUAG
rnacentral:rRNA from 1 species